GACGGGGGGUGCAGGCGAUAUCCGGAAUCACUGGGCGUAAAGCGUCUGAAGGUGGUGAUGCAAGUAACUGGUGCAAAACUCUGGCUCAACCGGAGGAAAGCCAGUGAAACUGCAUGACUAGAGUGUGGGAGAGGUAGAAGGAAUUCCCUGAGUAGCGGUGAAAUGCGUAGAUACAGGGAAGAACACCGGAGGCGAAAGCGUUAUACGGGAACACAAUUGACACUGCGAGACGUAAGCUAGGGGAGCGCAUGGG
rnacentral:rRNA from 1 species